GGCAGAACCAAUAUGCUCAAUUAAUUUAUGACAAAGAAGCCAAGAAUAUACAAUGGAGAAAGUUAGUCUCUUCAAUAA